UUCUCAAUUUUCUGUUUGUAUUAGCCGAUGAAUAUGGCUUUCGGAGAGCCCAAUCUUUUUUCCCAAAAAGCAUUAUAACAACCUCCAUAUUGAGUUGGGGAACCAUAACAUAUAAUCACACUAAAAUUUUCACCCCCAUUUCUGCAUCUACAAGCCCUUUAUUUAAAAUUGUGCAAAUUCAUCAAUUUUUGCGUGUAUAAGCCCAUGGAUCUGGCGUCAGGAACUCCAAUAUUUUUUCUCAAAUAAUUUUAUCAGGACCUCCGUAUUGAGUUGGGGAACCAUCAGCAGCUGCAUGAAGCGGACUCACAAAAUCAACAAAGCAAUGAAUCAAGGUGUUGACUCCAGGCUGCAUAUAAGUUGAUAAUCAGUAGACAGAAUUUUUAAUUAGUUGAUGAUGAUGUGAAACGUAUAUAUUCUUACAUAUAUUGAUGGUUCUGGUACGAGCCUAACUUCUUUGUAA